UUGAGCCGUGUGCGGUGAAAGUCGCCCGCACGGUUCUUAGGGGGCUCUGGAUCAGAUAAUGAUCCAGGGCUACCCGAC
rnacentral:ncRNA from 1 species